rnacentral:piRNA from 1 species
UGGAAAGUGCCUGACUACUUGCCUAUCCUGU